ensembl:miRNA
AUUCUAUGGGAAUCUAGUGGAAACAUUUCUGCAUAAACUAGAUUAUGGAUACUAGUGUGUGGAAAUGCUUCUGCUCCAUUUUUAGAG